rnacentral:tRNA from 1 species
UAGGAAGUAGUAUAAUGGAAGUACUAAGGGCUUUGAUCUCUUUAGUAGGGGUUCAAAUCCUCUCUUUCUAA